UUGUCAUUUUCUUUAGUCACGGUUUUAAUUUACUCGUCGGUCUCUUUCUUUCUUUCUGAACAGCAUCUUCCCUUUCUUCUUUACUCGUGUAAUAAAUACAGAAGGCUCACGUUUUGCCAAGUGAGCAAACAGUACUUUGCCUUCACGGAUUUCAAACGAUAAAUUUGCAGUAAUCUUUAGUCGAAUGUAUUUUCUGACAUAUUUCCUCAAAACCCGCUAAGAAAAGUUCUCAUCUUUCCCAUUGAAUCUCCACAAAUACAACCUUUCUUCUGCUUCUUCUUCUUCUUGAGCUCAGUUCCUACUUACAGAACAAGGAAGCUUUGUCUUUUUGCUCUUUUAGAAGAUGGUUUCUUGUUUCUGCUUGGAUGUUCACUCUUGAGUAGAGCAUAAACAGAGAAAAUAAAGACAGCAUUAUCUACAUUCGCAGCAUUACUCAUGGCUUCAAUAAACGAUAUUGGAGUAGCAGCAGCAAUCAACAUAGUCACAGCAAUUGCGUUCUUGCUAGCUUUUGCAAUACUCAGGAUUCAACCAGUAAACGACAGAGUCUAUUUCCCUAAAUGGUAUCUUAAGGGCCUAAGAACUAGCUCUAUACAAACCGGUGGCUUCGGAAGCAAGUUUAUCAACUUGGACUUUAGGUCAUAUGUUCGAUUCCUCAACUGGAUGCCUGAAGCACUUAAAAUGCCAGAACCUGAGCUUGUCCAUCACGCAGGACUAGAUUCUGUUGUCUACUUGAGGAUCUACUUACUUGGGCUCAAGAUCUUUUUCCCCAUAGCUUGUGUUGCUUUUACAGCAAUGGUGCCUGUUAACUGGACAAACAAGGGUCUGGAUCGGUUAAAACACACUAAUAUAAGUUACAGUGAUAUCGAUAAACUUUCUUUAUCGAAUAUACCAAAUGGAUCAGGCAGUAGAUUUUGGGUGCAUUUGUGUAUGGCUUAUGCCAUCACCUUCUGGACAUGCUUUAUGCUGAAAAGAGAGUACAAGAAUAUAGCUUUGAUGAGGCUACAGUUUCUUGCUAAUGACGAAAGGAGACCUAACCAGUUUACUGUGCUGGUGAGAAACAUUCCUACAGACCCUCAUGAAUCAAUCUGUGAACUUGUUGAACAUUUCUUCAAGGUCAAUCAUCCAGAUCACUACCUCACUUACCAGGCAGUCCACGACUCAACAAAACUCUCAGAGUUGGUUCAGAAGAGGAAACAAAUGCAGAAUCUGCUCGAUUACAAUAUCAACAAACACAUGAGAACUCAAUCUAAAAGGCCAAUAAUAAAGAUGGGGUUUCUUGGCUGUUGCGGUGAACAAGUUGAUGGAAUCAAGUACUACACGUCCAUGGUGGAGAGUCUAACGAGAGAAAUAAGUGAGGAGAAGCAGAGGUUAAGGACAGGUACAAAGUCUAUAGUCCCUGCAGCUUUUGUGUCUUUCAAGAGCCGUUGGGGAGCAGCGGUUUGUGCUCAAACUGAACAGUCAAGAGACCCAACAGAGUGGCUAACCGAAUGGGCUGCAGAGCCACGUGACAUCUACUAUGACAAUCUGGCAUUGCCAUACGUCGACCUUAAGAUAAGAAGGAUCAUAGUAGCCAUCGCAUACUUCUUCCUCACCUUCUUCUUCAUGAUCCCAAUAGCAUUUGUACAGUCACUAGCUAACAUCGAAGGCAUAGAGAAGGCUUUUCCCUUCUUGAAGCCCCUUAUAGAAGUGAAAUUUUUUAAGUCCAUCAUCCAAGGGUUCCUUCCAGGGAUUGCAUUGAAGAUCUUCCUCAUGUUCCUCCCAAGAAUAUUGAUGCAAAUGUCGAAAUUCGAAGGUUUUGUCAGCACAUCCUCAUUAGAGAGAAGAGCAGCAAGUAGAUUCUACAUGUUUCAGUUCAUCAAUGUUUUCUUAGGAAGCAUAGUCACCGGGACUGCGUUUCAACAGCUCAACCGCUUCCUCAACCAGUCUGCAAACGAUAUUCCAAAGACAAUAGGCGUCUCGAUUCCAAUGAAAGCGACCUUCUUCAUAACAUACAUAAUGGUGGAUGGAUGGGCAGGUGUUGCUGGAGAGAUACUGAGGUUGAAGCCGCUAAUAAUCUAUCAUCUAAAGAACUCCUUCCUCGUGAGAACCGAGAAUGAUAGGGAAGAAGCAACUGAUGCUGGAACCAUAGGAUUCAACACUGGUGAACCUCAAAUACAACUCUACUUCCUUCUUGGUCUUGUUUACGCAGCAGUUAGCCCCAUCCUUCUUCCCUUUAUCAUCCUCUUCUUCGCCCUGGCUUAUGUAGUGUACCGUCAUCAGGUUAUAAAUGUGUAUAACCAAAAUUAUGAGAGCGCAGGGAAGUUCUGGCCUGACGUUCACAGGCGUGUCGUGACCGCACUGAUAGUUUCUCAGUUGCUCUUGAUGGGUCUUCUAAGCACCAAACAAGCUUCUAAGUCCACUCCUUUCCUUCUUGUGCUUCCGGUGUUGACCAUUGGGUUCCACAUGCACUGCAAAUGCCGUUACCAACCUGCUUUUGUCAGAUACUCUUUACAGGAAGCCAUGAUCAAAGAUACACUGGAACGCACACGUGAGCCAAACCUUAACCUCAAGGCUUUCUUUAGAAAUGCGUAUGCCCACCCGGAGUUUAGGGUGGGAGAAGACCUAGAGCUAGAGAUGGCCGUGGAGAAGCCUAAUAAGACACCGGAGCUAGUUGCCACUAAGCGUGGCUCAUGGAGGAACACUCCUUUGCCUAGCAGCAAACAUAGCUGCCCUUAUUCACCUUGAUGCUUUUGCUCUUUUCUACCUUUAAUGUGUCUAGAAGUGGCUGAAGAGCUUUACGACCAUCAGCAUGAGCAAGAACUCGACGCAGUCUGUGUUUAACCCCACUGUCUGGGGUGAAUUUCCUAUCGAGCAUGCUCUCAAGAAGCGGGACAGCAUCUUUAACCUUGUUCAGUUGAAGGAAGCCAGUUAUAACGGUGUUGAACAUAACAGAAUCAGAGGGCAUUGAUAACUAUAUUGUACGUUACCACAUCUGCCACCAAUCCCAUGUUCUGGAUUUCAUCAAAGAGUCUCUUUGCGUCAUCCAGCUUCCCAUUUUUAAUCAGACCACUGAUGAUAGCAUUGAACUGAAAUAUGUCGGGAGAUUGACCAGACUUGCGUAUUGCAUUGAAGAUAUCUUGAGCAGCAUCUGAAUUUCCAGCUCGGCAAGAAGCGUGUAUCAGUGAAGUAUAUGUAUAACUGUCUGGUUCCAUCCCCUCAUGUUUCAUUCGUCUUAUAAGCUCAGUGGCUUCUUCUAGCUUUCCAUGUUUGCAAUAGCCACUGAUCAUUGUAUUGUAUGUAAUUGGAUCAGGCACCAAACCCUUGUCCGAGAUUUCAUCAAAGAGUCUCUUUGCAUCA